ACGUAGGGGGCAAGCGUUAUCCGGAGUUAUUGGGCGUAAAGAGUGCGUAGGCGGCGAUUUAAGCGUGAGGUGAAAGCCAAGAGCUUAACUAUUGGAUGCCUUGCGAACUGGAAGACUUGAGUGCAGGAGAGGAAAGUGGAAUUCCUAGUGUAGCGGUGAAAUGCGUAGAUAUUAGGAGGAACACCAGUGGCGAAGGCGACUUUCUGGACUGUAACUGACACUGAGGCACGAAAGCGUGGGGAGCAAACAG
rnacentral:rRNA from 1 species